rnacentral:rRNA from 1 species
AGCGUACACGGUGGAUGCCCUGGCAGUCAGAGGCGAUGAAGGACGUGCUAAUCUGCGAAAAGCGCCGGCGAGGUGAUAUGAACCCUUGACCCGGCGAUGUCCGAAUGGGGAAACCCAGUGUGUUUCGACACACUAUCGUUAACUGAAUACAUAGGUUAACGAGGCGAACCGGGGGAACUGAAACAUCUAAGUACCCCGAGGAAAAGAAAUCAACCGAGAUUCCCCCAGUAGCGGCGAGCGAACGGGGAGCAGCCCGGAGUCUGAAUCAGCUUGUGUGUUAGUGGAACGGUCUGGAAAGUCCGACGGUACAGGGUGAUAGUCCCGUACACGAAAAUGCACAGGUUGUGAACUCGAAGAGUAGGGCGGGACACGUGGUAUCCUGUCUGAAUAUGGGGGGACCAUCCUCCAAGGCUAAAUACUCCUGACUGACCGAUAGUGAACCAGUACCGUGAGGGAAAGGCGAAAAGAACCCCGGCGAGGGGAGUGAAAAAGAACCUGAAACCGUGUACGUACAAGCAGUGGGAGCNGUGACUGCGUACCUUUUGUAUAAUGGGUCAGCGACUUAUAUUCUGUAGCAAGGUUAACCGUAUAGGGGAGCCGAAGGGAAACCGAGUCUUAACUGGGCGUUAAGUUGCAGGGUAUAGACCCGAAACCCGGUGAUCUAGCCAUGGGCAGGUUGAAGGUUGGGUAACACUAACUGGAGGACCGAACCGACUAAUGUUGAAAAAUUAGCGGAUGACCUGUGGCUGGGGGUGAAAGGCCAAUCAAACCGGGAGAUAGCUGGUUCUCCCCGAAAGCUAUUUAGGUAGCGCCUCGUGAACUCAUCUUCGGGGGUAGAGCACUGUUUCGGCUAGGGGGCCAUCCCGGCUUACCAACCCGAUGCAAACUACGAAUACCGAAGAAUGUUAUCACGGGAGACACACGGCGGGUGCUAACGUCCGUCGUGAAGAGGGAAACAACCCAGACCGCCAGCUAAGGUCCCAAAGUCAUGGUUAAGUGGGAAACGAUGUGGGAAGGCACAGACAGCCAGGAUGUUGGCUUAGAAGCAGCCAUCAUUUAAAGAAAGCGUAAUAGCUCACUGGUCGAGUCGGCCUGCGCGGAAGAUGUAACGGGGCUAAACCAUGCACCGAAGCUGCGGCAGCGACACUAUGUGUUGUUGGGUAGGGGAGCGUUCUGUAAGCCGUUGAAGGUGUGCUGUGAGGCAUGCUGGAGGUAUCAGAAGUGCGAAUGCUGACAUAAGUAACGAUAAAGCGGGUGAAAAGCCCGCUCGCCGGAAGACCAAGGGUUCCUGUCCAACGUUAAUCGGGGCAGGGUGAGUCGACCCCUAAGGCGAGGCCGAAAGGCGUAGUCGAUGGGAAACAGGUUAAUAUUCCUGUACUUGGUGUUACUGCGAAGGGGGGACGGAGAAGGCUAUGUCAGCCGGGCGACGGUUGUCCCGGUUUAAGCAUGUAGGCGGAGGUUCCAGGUAAAUCCGGUACCUUUUAACGCUGAGGUGUGAUGACGAGGCACUACGGUGCUGAAGUGAUAAAUGCCCUGCUUCCAGGAAAAGCCUCUAAGCAUCAGGUAACACGAAAUCGUACCCCAAACCGACACAGGUGGUCAGGUAGAGAAUACCAAGGCGCUUGAGAGAACUCGGGUGAAGGAACUAGGCAAAAUGGUGCCGUAACUUCGGGAGAAGGCACGCUGAUAUGUAGGUGAAGCCCCUGCGGGCGGAGCUGAAAUCAGUCGAAGAUACCAGCUGGCUGCAACUGUUUAUUAAAAACACAGCACUGUGCAAACACGAAAGUGGACGUAUACGGUGUGACGCCUGCCCGGUGCCGGAAGGUUAAUUGAUGGGGUUAGCGGCAACGCGAAGCUCUUGAUCGAAGCCCCGGUAAACGGCGGCCGUAACUAUAACGGUCCUAAGGUAGCGAAAUUCCUUGUCGGGUAAGUUCCGACCUGCACGAAUGGCGUAAUGAUGGCCAGGCUGUCUCCACCCGAGACUCAGUGAAAUUGAACUCGCUGUGAAGAUGCAGUGUACCCGCGGCAAGACGGAAAGACCCCGUGAACCUUUACUAUAGCUUGACACUGAACACUGGUCCUUGAUGUGUAGGAUAGGUGGGAGGCUUUGAAGCGUGGACGCCAGUCUGCGUGGAGCCAUCCUUGAAAUACCACCCUUUAAUGGCUGGUGUUCUAACGUAGACCCGUAAUCCGGGUUGCGGACAGUGUCUGGUGGGUAGUUUGACUGGGGCGGUCUCCUCCCAAAGAGUAACGGAGGAGCACGAAGGUUGGCUAAUCCUGGUCGGACAUCAGGAGGUUAGUGCAAUGGCAUAAGCCAGCUUGACUGCGAGCGUGACGGCGCGAGCAGGUGCGAAAGCAGGUCAUAGUGAUCCGGUGGUUCUGAAUGGAAGGGCCAUCGCUCAACGGAUAAAAGGUACUCCGGGGAUAACAGGCUGAUACCGCCCAAGAGUUCAUAUCGACGGCGGUGUUUGGCACCUCGAUGUCGGCUCAUCACAUCCUGGGGCUGAAGUAGGUCCCAAGGGUAUGGCUGUUCGCCAUUUAAAGUGGUACGCGAGCUGGGUUUAGAACGUCGUGAGACAGUUCGGUCCCUAUCUGCCGUGGGCGCUGGAGAAUUGAGGGGGGCUGCUCCUAGUACGAGAGGACCGGAGUGGACGCAUCACUGGUGUUCGGGUUGUCAUGCCAAUGGCACUGCCCGGUAGCUAAAUGCGGAAGAGAUAAGUGCUGAAAGCAUCUAAGCACGAAACUUGCCCCGAGAUGAGUUCU